AUUGAACGCUGGCGGCAUGCCUUACACAUGCAAGUCGAACGGUAACGCGGGGCAACCUGGCGACGAGUGGCGAACGGGUGAGUAAUGCAUCGGAACGUGCCCAGAAGUGGGGGAUAGCCCGGCGAAAGCCGGAUUAAUACCGCAUGAGACCUGAGGGUGAAAGCGGGGGAUCGCAAGACCUCGCGCUUUUGGAGCGGCCGAUGUCAGAUUAGCUAGUUGGUGGGGUAAAGGCCUACCAAGGCGACGAUCUGUAGCUGGUCUGAGAGGACGACCAGCCACACUGGGACUGAGACGCGGCCCAGACUCCUACGGGAGGCAGCAGUGGGGAAUUUUGGACAAUGGGCGCAAGCCUGAUCCAGCCAUGCCGCGUGCGGGAAGAAGGCCUUCGGGUUGUAAACCGCUUUUGUCAGGGAAGAAACGCUCUGGGCUAAUACCCUGGGGUAAUGACGGUACCUGAAGAAUAAGCACCGGCUAACUACGUG
rnacentral:rRNA from 1 species